CUCACUAGACAGGAAGCUCCAUCCAUAAGAAUUACCUAUUCCAUUCAUCACUCAGCACCUAAGACAGCACCUAGCACAUAAUAGGUGUUCAGUAAAUACUUCUUUCAGUUGAAUGAAUUAAAAAUGAAGUGCCCCGAGGGUUAGGCUGAUCCUGUUUUAGGAAUUCUGUUAAAAGCAACAGAAAACAGCCUAAGACAGUCUACAAGUAUCUAUCUGAUUGCAGCCUUAUUUGAAAAUUUUAGUCUCUCUCUGUCACCCAGGCUGGAGUGCUCUGUCACCCAGGCUGGAGUGCAGUGGUAUAAUCAUAGC
rnacentral:lncRNA from 1 species